UACGAAGGGGGCUAGCGUUGCUCGGAAUUACUGGGCGUAAAGCGCACGUAGGCGGCUUUCUAAGUCGGGGGUGAAAUCCUGGAGCUCAACUCCAGAACUGCCUUCGAUACUGGAGAGCUUGAGUCCGGGAGAGGUGAGUGGAAUUCCGAGUGUAGAGGUGAAAUUCGUAGAUAUUCGGAGGAACACCAGUGGCGAAGGCGGCUCACUGGUCCAUUACUGACGCUGAGGUGCGAAAGCGUGGGGAGCGAACAGG
rnacentral:rRNA from 1 species